CCUCCACGGCAACAUCUCCCUCGAUCUGGUCCGGCAGCACCGCCGCGUCGACGGCGAAGGUGGUGAUCGCGGCGGCGAGCAGCGCGAGUUGGUGGCUGCGGGACUCGACGGCACGGCUCUCGUCAGCAGCGACAGAGGUGGUUGUUAGAUAUCUUUGCUAAAUGCUGGCCCUUCGCACGAAAUGUUUAGCUUCUCCUUUGGUGGAACAAGUGAUAACCUACUUGCUACUGGUUCUAGUUCCAAGGUAAGGGAAUGGAGAGAGGGGAGCUGCUCCUAUUGUGUACAGGACACCAUGGUAGGUUCUUUUUUUGUUCUGUCAUUUUUCUCUUCCUGAUCUGAACAUGUUGAAGGCUCUAUUUUGUGCAGGUUGCUCUCACGAGAAGCUACUGC